AACGAACGCUGGCGGCAUGCCUAACACAUGCAAGUCGAACGAGACCUUCGGGUCUAGUGGCGCACGGGUGCGUAACGCGUGGGAACCUGCCUUUAGGUUCGGAAUAACUCAGAGAAAUUUGAGCUAAUACCGGAUAAUGUCUUCGGACCAAAGAUUUAUCGCCUUUAGAUGGGCCCGCGUUGGAUUAGCUAGUUGGUGGGGUAAAGGCCUACCAAGGCGACGAUCCAUAGCUGGUCUGAGAGGAUGAUCAGCCACACUGGGACUGAGACACGGCCCAGACUCCUACGGAGGCAGCA
rnacentral:rRNA from 1 species